CUCCUCCAGACUAGGUUAGUCUCUGGGUAGAUACUCCUCCAGACUAGGUUAGUCUCUGGGUAGAUACUCCUCCAGACUAGGUUAGUCUCUGGGUAGAUACUCCUCCAGACUAGGUUAGUCUCUGGGUAGAUACUCCUCCAGACUAGGUUAGUCUCUAGGGUAGAUACUCCUCCAGACUAGGUUAGUCUCUAGGGUAGAUACUCCUCCAGACUAGGUUGGUCUCUAGGGUAGAUACUCCUCCAGACUAGGUUAGUCUCUAGGGUAGAUACUCCUCCAGACUAGGUUAGUCUCUGGGUAGAUACUCCUCCAGACUAGGUUGGUCUCUGGGUAGAUACUCCUCCAGACUAGGUUAGUCUCUAGGGUAGAUCCUCCUCCAGACUAGGUUGGUCUCUAGGUAGAUACUCCUCCAGACUAUGUUAGUCUCUAGGUAGAUACUCCUCCAGACUAGGUUAGUCUCUAGGUAGAUACUCCUCCAGACUAGGUUAGUCUCUAGGGUAGAUACUCCUCCAGACUAGGUUGGUCUCUAGGGUAGAUCCUCCUCCAGACUAGGUUAGUCUCUGGGUAGAUCCUCCUCCAGACUAGGUUGGUCUCUAGGUAGAUCCUCCUCCAGACUAGGUUGGUCUCUAGGGUAGAUCCUCCUCCAGACUAGGUUAGUCUCUAGGGUAGAUCCUCCUCCAGACUAGGUUAGUCUCUAGGUAGAUACUCCUCCAGACUAGGUUGGUCUCUAGGUAGAUACUCCUCCA